rnacentral:miRNA from 1 species
CAUCCUAACAACACAUCCCAUCAC